AUUGAACGCUGGCGGCAUGCCUAACACAUGCAAGUCGAACGGCAGCACGGGAGCUUGCUCCUGGUGGCGAGUGGCGGACGGGUGAGUAAUGCAUAGGAAUCUGCCCAGUAGCGGGGGACAACUUGGGGAAACUCAAGCUAAUACCGCAUACGCCCUACGGGGAAAGCGGGGGACCUUCGGGCCUCGCACUAUUGGAUGAGCCUAUGUCAGAUUAGCUUGUUGGUGGGUAAAGGCCUACCAAGGCGACGAUCUGUAGCUGGUCUGAGAGGACGAUCAGCCACACUGGGACUGAGGCACGGCCCAGACUCCUACGGGAGGCAGCAGUGGGGAAUAUUGCACAAUGGGCGAAAGCCUGAUGCAGCAAUGCCGCGUGUGUAGAAGAAGGCCUGAGGGUUGUAAAGCACUUUCAAUCGUGAAGAAAAGUUGCAGGCUAAUACCCUGUGACCUUGACGUUAACGAUACAAGAAGCACCGGC
rnacentral:rRNA from 1 species